GACGAACGCUGGCGGCGUGCUUAGCACAUGCAAGUCGAACGGAAAGGCCUGCUUUCCCUUGUGGAUUGCGGGUACUCGAGUGGCGAACGGGUGAGUAACACGUGAGUGAUCUGCCCCCAACUUGGGUAUAAGCCUGGGAAACUGGGUCUAAUUCCCGAUAGGACUGCAGGGUGGUGCCUGUGGUGGAAAACGAUUUUCUAGUGGUUGGGGAUGAGCUCGCGGCCUAUCAGCUUGUUGGUGGGGUAAUGGCCUACCAAGGCGGCGACGGGUAGCCGGCCUGGGAGGGUGGACGGCCACAUUGGGACUGAGAUACGGCCCAGACUCCUACGGGAGGCAGCAGUGGGGAAUAUUGCACAAUGGGCGGAAGCCUGAUGCAGCGACGCCGCGUGGGGGAUGACGGCCUUCGGGUUGUAAACUCCUUUCGACCGCGAGGAAGCCACCUGGUUGGAAGGGUAGUGACGGUAGUGGUAGAAGAAGCACCGGCUAACUACGUG
rnacentral:rRNA from 1 species